AUGAUAAAGAUCACCGACAUAUUCACUGGUCGAGCUGGGAGAAACUUACAAACCAAAAAAGCCAAUGAGGUAUGGGAUUCAAAGACCUUAGAGUUUUUAACCAGGAUCUCCUCGCUAGGCAAGCUUGGCGACUUAUUGCACAUCCUGACGGCUUGUGCGCGAGAGUACUCAAGGCUAAAUACUACCAUGGGGUUGAUCUGCUAG
rnacentral:rRNA from 1 species